rnacentral:sRNA from 1 species
CAGAGAAGAGAAAGAAAAAAGAUUCAUGCAUCUAUAGAACAUAUCGUGAUAGCCUGAUGCAUGUACAUAGUUUAAUAAAACAGAUCAGCGUGAUUAGUAUUUCUGUAUCUAAAUAUUUAUCAUUGGCAAUGUGGAUAGAAGUUGGGAAUCUGAGUUUCCCUUCACUCAUUAUUUAUAAAGUCUAGCGUAAGCUGUAACCUCGCGAUUCCACUGUGGAAUGCUGCCCUUCAUAAAAGUGACCUUGUGCUUCGAUUCUGAAAGUGUCUUUUAAGAUUAGGUUGGACGCUAAUUCUCAAGAAGGACGCUGUUCUCUCCAGGUUGGUGUUCAUUUUGUACCUCUCAAAUCUCAAGCCUCAUAGGUGAGUAAAGUAACUGAAGACAGAGUGUGCUUCAGAAAUGAAAACAGCUUGAUCUUGAGGAAGUCUGCAGUUUCAAGGAACAAAACAAACUUCAAUCAUUUUAGGAAGGGAAAGUCACCAAAACAAAUGCAAUCUGUGGUUUUAAAGGGAAAGGACUGGCAGGUGUAGAUGAAACCGAGCUCCCUUCCUCAGAGGGCAGCACACUGUCCUCGGGAGAGAUGCGGAGUUAGCCGUGGUGACGUGCUUCUUCCCGAGGGGCCAGGAAUGAGGGAGCAGCCUAACUGGUGUGGAAUGCUUUGGUUUUCUGGUUUUGUUUGUUUGUUUUGUUGUUUGUUUUUUGUCUCCUUAAAACUUCAGAAGGUAAACCGCAAGACUGAGGAAGCUAAGCAACGCGUUGCUUAAUCCACACGUCAGAGGCUCCGGAAGUGGCCCCAAGUCUUGCAGAUUCAACAAAACAGUCCCCUUUCACCCUUCCAAGGUUGCCCCCUUGGUUCCCCCUCCCCCUUGGAAGUCUUCUGUUGGCUUCUGAAGUUAUGACCCUAAAUCAGACUGCUCUGGUUGGGACGAUUGGUCGGAGCGUGAUGCUCUCCAGCUGGGGACCAGGCAAAGUAGAGUAGCAGGAUAAUUAGCCUUUUACAGGAAAGCCUGCUGACCCUUGAUAUCACUGCAUUCUCCGAAGGCUUUGGAACCAGGCCCUUGGCAAGCUAACUACAGACGAGAGAACUGUCCUCCACAGUGAACUCUCUUCUGAUCCCGCUUGAGCUUGGCACAUAGCCUUGCGUGCGACUUCUUAGACAGAACCUCGGAUCUUACCAUUUUCUAAGGAAAUUGGUGAGUAAAGAGGUUAUCAGUGGUUGUCAGUCUUCUCUGAGAGGAUGGACCAGAAAUGAAAGGAAAAUGCUUCAGACUGCAUGAAGAAGGAGGCUGCUUUGUGUAGGAAAGGGCUAGCCUGCAGUCCCAGGACUUUGAAAGCUCUGUCUCAAAGUGGCGUCUCAGGCAAGCUGGAGAUCAAGUUUUGAGGUUUUUUUUCAUUAUCAUGCAAGAGCACUUCUACUGCCUUCUGCCUCCAGCACAUUUUUACACUUAAAAGCAAAUUCAAAUUCUUUGAAGAUUAUAAAAAAGAGAAAGAAAGAAAAAAAAUCUUAAUGCUAAACAAAAUUUAGUCUCACUAGGAAAGUGGUUGAUAAAUAAUACACUCCUACUGCGAAUAUAUUUUCAUACUGUUAAAUAUUUAUUUAUUAAGAAGUAAUAUGUUUCUGAAUACAUCUCUUUUGAUAAUCUCCCCAGUAUGGGAAGUAUGCGCUCGUGUAUACACACACACACAC